UCCCCGAUUUCCGGGGCAGUCUCCUUAGAGUUCCCGGCAUUACCCGCUGGCAACUAAGGAUAGGGGUUGCGCUCGUUGCGGGACUUAAGCCAACACCUCACGGCACGAGCUGACGACAGCCAUGCAGCACCUGUGCUGGCCCCUUACGAACACGGGCUUUCACCCGCUUUAACCAGCAUGUCAAGCCCAGGUAAGGUUCUUCGCGUUGCAUCGAAUUAAGCCACAUGCUCCACCGCUUGUGCAGGCCCCCGUCAAUUCCUUUGAGUUUCAGUCUUGCGACCGUACUCCCCAGGCGGCGAACUUAACGCGUUAGCUUCGAUACUGCGUGCCAAAUUGCACCCAACAUCCAGUUCGCAUCGUUUAGGGCGUGGACUAC
rnacentral:misc_RNA from 1 species